AGCUUUGCACAGUGGCAGUACCAUAGCCAAUGAGGUUUAUCUGAGGCACGAUUACUGCUAAUUGAAAGAUCUCACAGUUUACAAUCCAGUGAAAUGUGCCCAUAUUCUACAUUAAUGUAAUUGACGUAUAACUAUGUA
ensembl:snRNA U4 U4 spliceosomal RNA